CUUAGCAUUUGCAUAUACAGCCUAUGCCUACGGCCGGCUCUGGCCUACAGAUUGUUGAGUUCAGCGGAGCAUGCUCUUUGUUAACACCCCGAGACACUUCCAAGUCAUAGGUGUGGCCAGAGCCGUGUCUUGCUAUUUGCUGAUUAUGUGGUUGCAUAGGGCCUCCGCACCACUAGGAGGCCCCCUCAAGAUGUAAGUCCAGCCUCAAUAUCUGAGGAGUGACCCACAGAAAAAAAGUUUUGCAAAGUACCUGGCACUUAUUUUUUUAGUACCUCUGCUGAGGUUCCAAGCGAGCCAAAGUGAUACGUAUGCCUGCUGGCUGGUCUCUACUGCGCUACGUUGCUAUGACAACCAGUACUACUAAGCGAGGAGAAGCGAAGCAGGCUGUGCUGAGCUGCUGGUACCGGUCAUUCAUGGCAUGGCAUCAAAACCAACCUAUUCAUCUGGUUCAGAACAAAAGAAAAAAAGAAGAAACGAAUAAAGGAGCAAUUCUGAAAUAUUUUGGAGCCAUGUACCAGGAAGCAACACGGCUGCCUUCAGCACCACCUGACCAGGAUGUUUAAGUUUAAAAAUGUUUCACAAUUUAAAAUAAAACAUUUUGAGGAACACUG